AUUGAACGCUGGCGGCAUGCUUUACACAUGCAAGUCGAACGGUAACAGGCCGCUAGGUGCUGACCAGGGGCGUACGGGGGAGUAAUGCACCGGAACGUGCCCAGUCGCGGGGAGAAAUACGCGAAAGAGUAGCUAAUACCCCACACGACCUAGGUACGACAGCGGGGGAUCGUAAGGCGUCGCGUGAUCUGAUCGGCCGAUUUCCGAUUAGGUAGUUGGUGGGGUAAUGGCUCACCAAGCCGACGAACUUUAGCCGGUCUGAGAGGAAGACCGCCCACAUGGGGACUGAGACACGGCCCAGACUCCUACGGGAGGCAGCAGUGGGGAAUUUUAGACGAUGGAGGAGAGGCUGAUCCAGCAAUGCCGCGUGAAGGAAGAAGGACUUCGGGUUGUAAAGUGCUUUUGUACGGAGCGAAACGGCGCUGGUUAAUACCCGGCGCUAAUGACGGUACCGUAAGAAUAAGCACCGGCUAACUACGUG
rnacentral:rRNA from 1 species